CGUCCCCCAAAUAACUUCUUUUCUUUCUUUCCAUUUUUGGAAACCAACCACACCACUAAUAAUACUUUAUUUAUUCUUACUUUUCACUUUUCACCACUUUCAAUCUACUUAAUAUCUAAAAACACAAAAACAAUGCACCAAAAUAUACACACACAUUCCCGCCCAAUUGCAUUUCAGCCAAUAUUUUUUUUUGUCUUAUUUGCACGUGCUUUGUGCUGCAAAAUUGUGGUUGCAAUAAAUGACUCAAUAAAUAUUUUUACUGUUCAACAACUAUUCAACAUAUCUUUUUGUACAAUUGCUGACAUAUCUAAUACUAUACAUAUAAUUAUUGUGGGGCUCAAAGACAACAAUUAAUGCAGAGCUCAUUAAUACAAAACUUAGCCACCAAGAUACAUUCUUUAUAUAUCCCUCACCAGCCAUAUUUCUUCUGCAUCUCCUUUUCUCCCUCACCGGCCACUUUUCUUUCGGCACUAUCUUGCUUCACCUUGCUUUCUUGCUUCUCUUUCUUUUUCCAUUUUUCUUUCGGCACUUUCUUGCUUCAAUGUGAGCACUCUUUCUAUUUUGCUUCUCUUUCUUAUCUUUCUGUUCUUGCUUCUCUUUCUUUCCUCUUUUUUCUUUGUCAGCUUCUUGCACCUUCUUUUCUACAUUUUAAUGAGCAGCAGCUUCUUGCACCUUCUUUUCUACAUUUUAAUGAGCAGCAGCUUCUGUUUCUAUCUGUAAUAUUGGCAUAUUCUUGCUCUUUUCUCUAAGCUUCUUGCUUCCAAUUUUUAUAUUUUUUUUAUUUCUACCUAAACUUUUCAUUUCUACUCUAAGCUUCUUUCUCACAACUUCUUACAUCAUUUUCUUUAUUUUCUUUCUUUUUUAUAUUUUAGUUUUUUUUGUUUCUAUUUUAUAUAUUUUUUUCUAUUUUACAUAUUCGUUCUUUUCUUUCUUAUAUCUUCAGUUUAAUUUUCCAUCCUAUUUUAUGUGUUUAUAACUACAACUUUAGAUUCUUUCUUUCUUUAUUUUUUUUAUAUCUUCAACUAUAUUUUCUUCCUAUUUUAUGUGUUUAUUUCAGUUUUACAUCUUUAGAUUUCUUUUCUGCACUUCUAAACAAAAAUAGAGCAAAACCCCCCCCUAUUUUCUGCACUUCUAAACAAAAAUAGAGCAAAACAUUACUAUAAUCCCAUAUACAACAAACAGGUUUAUGAUAAUGACGAAAGUGCAAAAACACGUUUGAAAUAUGAAUAAAACAUGCAAAAAGAAACAACAGGUUAUCUGAAUAUGAAAUUUCGAAGAGUUUGCAUGAUAUAUGCUAAAUAAGGUUUAAGUAACUUACUCAGUCAAACAAAGGCAGAUUUCGGAGGUAGCAAAAAAGAAUGAUUUUUUUGUUCUUAUUCUUAAUCAAAAAUAAUUUCAAAGAGGCAGCAAAUAUUUCAAAUGGAUUUGUGUUAGCAACAAGUAAUGAUUUUUAGUUCUUCAUAUGUGCUGCCUCUUUGAUUUUUUUUGAAACAGCAAAGUAAACAAAAUUCCUGCAUUUUCUAUGAAACACGAAAAGCAAGAGCAAAUAGAUCUACGGAGAUCUAAAAAACGACAAGUAACAGUUUCAUGUGUAGAUAUUCAGAGAUCUACGAAAAUGAAAAUCUGAAAAACAAUAAACUAAUAAUGCGAAAAAAAAAUAAGAUGUCUGUAUAGGAAAAAAAAAGAAAAGUGAAGCAAUAUCAUCAAAAAAUACCUAAAUUCGUUCUCAAAUAAAAUUUGUGCCUUGGGUUUUUAAAGAACAAAAUGACAAAAAACAUUGGAGCAUAUGCAGACGAAAAUUUGUUGCUAUUGUUUAAAUGAACAAAAACGAUACUUCAGCAAGAAAAAUUAAACAUGGAGAAAAUUAAAAAAAUUAAAAUUAAAAAACGAAAAACUAAUAAACGAAAAAAAAAAUUAGAUCUUAUUCGGUGUUAAAAAAAACGAAUCUGCAAGCAAAAAAAUUCAAAAUUUAAUAUGGAGAAGUAGGCCGAGAUCUGGAGGCUAGGGCUUGGACGACGGCGGCGGCGUAUCUGUGCAGACGGAGGCAGCGGCGNUACAUUCUAAGAGCAUCCGCAAUGGGGUUACAUGAUAGCUUACAUGAUAGCCUAAUUUAUGAUGGGGGAUCACAUGGUGUAAAGAUGCUGCAGUGGGGUUACAUGAUAGCUUACAUGAUAGCAUCUACUUAAUAUAUAAAAACACAAAAACAAUGCACCAAAAUACACACCCACUUUCCCGCCAAAUUGCAUUUCAGCCAAUAUUCUUUUUUGUCUUAUUUGCACGUGCUUUGUGCUGCAAAAUUGUGGCUGCAAUAAAUGACUCAAUAAAUUUUUUACUGUUCAACAUAUCUUUUUCAGAUUAUUUUUGUACGAUUCCUGACAUAUCUAAUACUAUACAUAUAAUUAUUGUGGGGCUCAAUGACAACAAUUAAUGCAGAGCUCAUUAAUUAAAACUUAGCCACUAAGAUACAUUCUUUAUAUAUCCCUCACCAGCCAUAUUUCUUCUGCAUCUUCUUUUCUCCCUCACCGGCCACUUUUCUUUCGGCACUAUCUUGCUUCACUUUGCUUUCUUGCUUCUCUUUCUUUUUCCAUUUUUCUUUCGGCACUUUCUUGCUUCAAUGUCAGCACUCUUUCUAUUUUGCUUCUCUUUCUUAUCUUUCUGUUCUUGCUUCUCUUUCUUUCCACUUUUUUCUUUGUCAGCUUCUUGCACCUUCUUUUCUACAUUUUAAUGAGCAGCAGCUUCUUGCACCUUCUUUUCUACAUUUUAAUGAGCAGCAGCUUCUUUUUCUAUCUGUAAUAUUGGCAUAUUCUUGCUCUUUUCUCUAAGCUUCUUGCUUCCUAAUUUUUAUUAUUUUUUUAUUUCUACCUAAACUUUUCAUUUCUACUCUAAGCUUCUUUCUCACAACUUCUUACAUCAUUUUCUUUAUUUUCUUUCUUUUUUAUAUUUUAGCUUUUUUGUUUCUAUUUUAUAUGUUUCUUUCUAUUCUACAUAUUCGUUCUUUUCUUUCUUAUAUCUUCUAGUUUAAUUUUCCUAUCCUAUUUUAUGUGUUUAUUUCUGAUUAACUACAACUUUAGAUUCUUUCUUUCUUUAUUUUUUUAUAUCUUCAACUAUCUUUUCUUCCUAUUUUAUGUGUUUAUUUCAGUUUUACAUCUUUAGAUUUUUCCCCCCUAUUUUCUGCACUUCUAAACAAAAAUAGAGCAAAACCCCCCUAUUUUCUGCACUUCUAAACAAAAAUAGAGCAAAACAUUACUAUAAUCCCAUAUACAACAAACAGGUUUAUGAUAAUGACGAAAGUGCAAAACACGUUUGAAAUAUGAAUAAACAUGCAAAAGAAACAACAGGUUAUCUGAAUAUGAAAUUUCGAAGAGUUUGCAUGAUAUAUGCUAAAUAAGGUUUAAGUAACUUACUCAGUCAAACAAAGGCAGAUUUCGGAGGUAGCAAAAAAGAAUGAUUUUUUUGUUCUUAUUCUUGAUCAAAAAUAAUUUCAAAGAGGCAGCAAAUAUUUCAAAUGGAUUUGUGUUAGCAACAAGUAAUGAUUUUUAGUUCUUCAUAUGUGCUGCCUCUUUGAUUUUUUUUGAAACAGCAAAGUAAACAAAAUUCCUGCAUUUUCUAUGAAACACGAAAAGCAAGAGCAAAUAGAUCUACAGAGAUCUAUAAAACGACAAGUAACAGUUUCAUGUGUAGAUAUUCAGAGAUCUACGAAAAUGAAAAUCUGAAAAACAAUAAACUAAUAAUGCGAAAAAAAAUAAAGAUGUCUGUAUAGGAAAAAAAAAGUGAAGCAAUAUCAUAAAAAAUACCUAAAUUCGUUCUCAAAUAAAAUUUGUGCCUUGGGUUUUUAAAGAACAAAAUGAACAAAAACAUUGGAGCAUAUGCAGACGAAAAUUUGUUGCUAUUGUUAAAUGAACAAAAACGAUACUUCAGCAAGAAAAAUUAAACAUGGAGAAAAUUAAAAAAAUUAAAAUUAAAAACGAAAACUAAUAAACGAAAAAAAAAUUAGAUCUUAUUCGGUGUUAAAAAAAACGAAUCUGCAAGCAAAAAAAUUCAAAAUUUAAUAUGGAGAAGUAGGCCGAGAUCUGGAGGCUAGGGCUUGGACGACGGCGGCGGCGUAUCUGUGCAGACGGAGGCAGCGGCGUGGAGCAGCGUCAGUGCCUAGAUGUGAGGGCGGAGUUGGUGGUUUAGGGAUGUAGGGCUUUUGGACGGCGGCUUUGUAGUGAUAUGGUUGCAGGUUUUUCGCCGGCAGAGGGUGAGGCAGAGGGAGAGAGAAGAGGAUGGAGAGCAUCAGCGACCGUGGCUUCUCGUCGGCAGCGGCGCAUGUGGAAUAAAGAGGAGAGUUUGGACUAGGAGAAGAAACGCCUAACGAGAGAGAAGAGAAGAGGCGGCGCUGAACCAAUGAGAGAAGAUGAGUAUUUGAGCAGUAUUUUAGGGUUUAAAAGUGUAGAUGGGCUGUAUUUAAUUUAUUUAUUUUAUUUUAAUUUGUUGGGUUGUAUUUAUUUAAUUGGGCUGAAUUUAUUGUACUUAUUUAAUUGGGCUGUAUUUAUUUAAUUGUUCUAUUAUUAAUAGUGGAAUAUAUUUAUAGUGGAAUAUUAGGGUUAAUAUUUGAUGGGCGAUUGAGCUGUUUUUUGAGAAGUAGCCGAUUGAGCUGUUUUUUGAGAAGAAAGAAGGCGAGGCGCAAGUAGUAGUAUAUAUUUAUAGUGGAAUAUUAGGGUUAAUAUUUGAUGGGCUGAGAUAGGAGGAAACAAGUACUAUAUAGUUUUUUAAUGGGUUUAUAAAAUUUAAGCUCAAUUAUGAUACUUUUUUUUGAAGGAAAAACCAAACUCAUAUAUUAGUGAACAUCAUUCUGGC
rnacentral:lncRNA from 1 species